rnacentral:rRNA from 1 species
ACUAACACGGAUUCCUUUAGUAACUGCGAGUGAAAAAGGAUAAGCUCAGCGCUGAAUCUUUGUGGUUUAGAUACUGCAACGAACUGUAGCGUAUAGGAGUGUAUUGUGGUAAAAUGUAGAUAUGGAAGUUACUCGUUGAUUCGAGUUCCAUAGAAGGUUUAAGGCCUGUCCCGUAUCUGACAUUUUGUCAAUGGUGUAUUCCUAUGAGUCGAGGUUGUUUGGAAACGCAGCCCAAAGUAGGUGGUAAACUUCAUCUAAAGCUAAAUAUGACCGUGAGACCAAUAGUAAACAAGUACUGUGAAGGAAAGUUGAAAAGUACUCUGAAGAGAGAGUUAAAAGAACGUGAAAACGAUUAGGUGGAAGCAAACAGGUCU